CCUUAAUAUUGAAAUGUAAGUUGUAUUUUAUUAUAAUACAUAUCAUUUAUAAAGGUUGUGGAUGAACACGAAUGCGGCCACGUUCAUUUUUGACAAAAACCAACUGAAAAGUGACAUUUUUAGGCAUAUUUGAUAGAUUUUUCUUAUUUCAGCUUGAAUCUGAUCGUUUUUAAUGACUAAAUCAGUUAAAUUAUUUACAAAAACUGAUUGAUUCAAAUGAAAUAGACACUUAAGUGUUUAAAAAGUGGUCAAAAUCUUUCGUCAGAUGAACCUGAAAUUUGAGGUAAAAAUCGGUCCUUACUGGACUACUCCUUUAAUGCAAUGUAUUAAUAAUGCUUAUUUCCACUGAACUCAGUUUAAGUUAAAAAUUUUGCAGUAUAAAUUUUACAGUUCUUGAGUUAUGUUCCUUCAUAACAUCAUAUGCUAGCUGGGUUGUCUUUUGUGUCCCUAUGAACACCUUCCAUAUUUGUUUUCUUGACUUGUCAUCAUGUAGUCUCGAUUUUAUGUUUAAAGGGACAGAAAUCAAACUUUUUAAUUUCAACAAUGAAUGAACUGUUGUGGUUCCUUUUAUAUGCUAAAUAUGAUUGUGUUGUCAGAUUUAUUAGCUCAUCUGGACCAAAAGAAGGCAAGCGAUCUUUUCUUAUAAACAGAACAUAGGAGUUAAAUGCAGUUUUCUGUUUAUAUCUCGGAAACAAAUGCACUUAAAGCAAAUCUGACAGUGGUAAAACGGUCCAUUAGAUAUAGAUUAUCCACUCAAAAAUUUUUAAACAAAUCUAAUAAACCUGUUGUUCGGAUGCUGCCCCCGAGUUAGUAUUUUAAAGAAAUUUUGCAUUUUUUUUUUUAUAAUCUUUGUCUUUGAUAUCAUUAUAAUAUCUAUUGUUAAUUAUGAUUUUAAACUUAUUUUACAUGAUUUUAAAGCAACAGUAUCAGAUGAGCGACACAGGCUCUCAAGAGCCUGCAGUUGCUUUUAGGCCUGUUUUUUUCGUUUGUCAACAUUAAUGUCAGUGACGUUAAAAAUGAACUGACAUAUGUGUCUCAUAUCAGCAUGACCUUCAUUUGUACUUGACCUUUGAUCUAAUGGUAAAAAAACUUGAUCUUUGGACAUUUUUGUUUCUGUUUCAUAAUGUUUGUUUAUCCUUUGGCAUAGGCUUAUGUAAGAG
rnacentral:lncRNA from 1 species